GACGAACGCUGGCGGCGUGCCUAAUACAUGCAAGUCGAACGCAUUUUCUUUCACCGUAGCUUGCUACACCGAAAGAAAAUGAGUGGCGAACGGGUGAGUAACACGUGGGUAACCUGCCCAUCAGCGGGGGAUAACACUUGGAAACAGGUGCUAAUACCGCAUAAUUCCAUUUACCGCAUGGUAAAUGGAUGAAAGGCGCUUUUGCGUCACUGAUGGAUGGACCCGCGGUGCAUUAGCUAGUUGGUGGGGUAACGGCCUACCAAGGCUGCGAUGCAUAGCCGACCUGAGAGGGUGAUCGGCCACACUGGGACUGAGACACGGCCCAGACUCCUACGGGAGGCAGCAGUAGGGAAUCCUCGGCAAUGGACGCAAGUCUGACCGAGCAACGCCGCGUGAGUGAAGAAGGGUGUCGGAUCGUAAAACUCUGUUGUUAGAGAAGAACAAGGAUGAGAGUGGAAAGUUCAUCCCUUGACGGUAUCUAACCAGAAAGCCACGGCUAACUACGUG
rnacentral:rRNA from 1 species